rnacentral:rRNA from 1 species
GACGAACGCUGGCGGCGUGCUUAACACAUGCAAGUCGAACGGGCCUGUCUUCUUUUUUGGGGGUGGGUUGAGUGGCGAACGGGUGAGUAUCACGUGAGUAACCUGCCCUUCGGUCCUGGAUAACCGCUUGAAAGGGCGGCUAAUACGGGGUGGUCCGGUUGGUCCGCAUGGGCUGGUCGGGAUAGAUUCACUGUUUUUGGUGUUUCGGCGGGGGAUGGGCUCGCGGCCUAUCAGCUUGUUGGUGGGGUGAUGGCCUACCAAGGCGGUGACGGGUAGCCGGCCUGGGAGGGUGGGCGGCCAGAGUGGGACUGAGAUACGGCCCAGACUCCUGCGGGAGGCAGCAGUGGGGGGUAUUGCACAAUGGGCGGAAGCCUGAUGCAGCGACGUCGCGUGAGGGAUGGAGGCCUUCGGGUUGUGAACCUCUGUUUCCGGUGGUGAAGGCCCUGUCCGUGUGGUGGGGUUGACGGUAGCCGGGGAUGAAGCGCCGGCUAACUACGUG